rnacentral:rRNA from 1 species
UAGUCCACGCCGUAAACUAUGGGUACUAGGUGUGGGAGGUAUCGACCCCUUCCGUGCCGCCGUUAACACAAUAAGUACCCCGCCUGGGGAGUACGGUCGCAAGAUUAAAACUCAAAGGAAUUGACGGGGGCCCGCACAAGCAGCGGAGCAUGUGGUUUAAUUCGAAGCAACGCGAAGAACCUUACCUAGACUUGACAUCUCCUGAAUUACCUGUAAUAAGGGAAGCCCUUCGGGGCAGGAAGAC